CCUGUGACAUACCACUUGUUGCCUCGGCGGAUCAGCCCGCUCCCGGUAAAACGGGACGGCCCGCCAGAGGACCCCUAAACUCUGUUUCUAUAUGUAACUUCUGAGUAAAACCAUAAAUAAAUCAAAACUUUCAACAACGGAUCUCUUGGUUCUGGCAUCGAUGAAGAACGCAGCAAAAUGCGAUAAGUAAUGUGAAUUGCAGAAUUCAGUGAAUCAUCGAAUCUUUGAACGCACAUUGCGCCCGCCAGUAUUCUGGCGGGCAUGCCUGUUCGAGCGUCAUUUCAACCCUCAAGCACAGCUUGGUGUUGGGACUCGCGUUAAUUCGCGUUCCUCAAAUUGAUUGGCGGUCACGUCGAGCUUCCAUAGCGUAGUAGUAAAACCCUCGUUACUGGUAAUCGUCGCGGCCACGCCGUUAAACCCCAACUUCUGAAUGUUGACCUCGGAUCAGGUAGGAAUACCCGCUGAACUUAAGCAUAUCA
rnacentral:rRNA from 1 species